GAACUUUUACCUGUCAUUACACUGGCCCCAUUAGUAGCAAUAUCGAUCCAAUUGUUUUGCAAGCAUUCUUCAUGCAAACCAUAUGAUUUAAAGCAUUUUAAGAGCUGCAUAGAUAUCUGCUCAUCGGUUUGUGACUCUAGUUCAAGUAUAUCCAAAAGUAUAUACACUCCAUUUUCUCUGGCUUCGUCUAGAUAGCCAAAAGAUAAAUUAUAAAAACUGGCUUGUUGCUCAGUGAUGUCAACUCAUCAAUCAGUAUGUUGAAUUUGGCUCUUCUUGAUACAAUUUGGAAUAUCAAUUGCUUCUGCAUUUUGUUAGCAAUAUGAUCUAUAAUAUUGGUUGCGAAAUGCAAGAAUGCAAAGUUGUACCUAGAUUAAUCCCAUUCAUUUGUUGCAAGGCAAUAAGAUCAUUUCUCUGAAUAAGGAUGAUUUUUUUGGACACUAUAAUAGGCCAUUCUGAGUAUCUUAAUGGUAGCCUUUUUGGCAUCGGACGAAAUUUUCAAUAGUCCAUCUUCAAUUCUCUUCGAUUGAGCCUUUUGCAAAAUCUUUUCAGCAAUACUGUGCCCUACCAAAUCUGAGUGCCUUUUAAUUUUGAUGCGAAGACUAGUCAGUUUCCUUUCAUGGUUUGGUCCAUAAAAAUGCUUCUGUGGAAUAUGGAUGGUUAGCUUCUAUGGAAAUGGUGGCCCAUUCUUUAGCAAUUUGUUGUCUUUUUAUUGUUUCAGCUCCUAGAGAUUUUACCAAGGUGCAUGUACAACCUAGUUUGCCAUUUUUGUAGGAGAUCCAAGGAUAUUUGCUUUUGAAGUCCUCUAGUUGGGAAGGCAUCCAUACCUUCAGCCAUAAAAAUUCAUCUACAUUUUCUGCAACAUCAUCUUUCUCAUAGCCUGUAGUUUCUGCAUCAGUAGUAUCACGGCUUCUGCCAUUAUCACAGGCAGUAUUGUUUUUGGCAACAUCAUUAACUUGAUUUGAACUGCUGCUGAAGGAAUGCCAUUCUACAUCAAUUUUUGUGCAAUGUAUGAAGGAAAAUGUACAAAUUCAACUUACUUCAUGACAAAAGAAACAGGCUUAGAUGGGUAUCUACACGAACUACUGAUACACGUGCUACAGGAAAGAGGAGUGACUUUUCGAUUGGUAGAGCAGCUACAAGAUUACUGUUCGGUUUACCGACACGUUUUAUAUUUGGAAUUUUUAGAAAAGUUGAAAGAUUUCGUUAUAGAACCGUACAGUUAAAUAUAUUUAAUAAUUUUGUUCUUAUUGUGUAAAGUUAUACGUAUUAAAAUUUAAAUUAUAAGUUUUCCUUACUCGCCUUGCUAUCGAUUAUCGUAUUUAAAAAUUUUGCUAAUAAAUGGGUGGUCGACGUUUUGCGUAAUGUAAAAAUUUCGGUAAUUGCUUCGGGAAGACAAUUGCGAUUAAGAGAAGGGAAAAAUCGGCUGCAGUCGAAAGAUAAAGCGGACUCGGACUACUUAUCCCGGUUAAUUUACAUUUUGCAAAUCUUUUUUAAACUCUCGAUACCCGACGACAAAUUAUUUACUUUAAAGGCGAAGGCCCAUCCGUUUUCCAAUUGGCAGCAACGAUUCAUUAAGACGAAAUCGACGCUACGGGUUUAGUCCGAGGGCGGGCGGAAAUCCUCUUUGGAGGAAAUUCGGGAUUAAGAAGUCGGCCGAAUGUUUGAAUAAAGGAUUUAUCGCUUCCCAGUAGAUUACCGUCAAACGGUUUCCUCGUUUGGCGAUAACGCGUGAAUUAUCGGCCCGGCAAAAAAUCCUAACGAGAUAAGCGUGGAAAAAUUAACUUUUCCUUUCGGCCUUUCCGUGAUUUUGCAAGAGUUCAAUAAAGAAGGGGUCGUCCCGGCUGCCGACAGAAGAUAGGACCUCCUCUCGAUUAUCCGAAUACUUGGCCAAUUCUUCCGCACUUGCCAUUUGUUAAUCGCUUUGUUCCAUUCCACGAACAGACCAAGUAGAAGCAAAGUUUGACGUCGUUUUCGUUCUCGCCUCCUGCCGAUUCUUACGUAAGAAAACGAGAAUUGCAAAGCGUUCGGGGCAUUUCGCCCGGAGUUAUUAGUAGUGUUCGAAUUUCUUUUUUCUAGUUAAAAGGCGUUCUUAAAAUUGAGCCGACGAUAAAAUCCAGCCAAGAGGGAAGCGCCGUAGCGGACGACUUUUCCGGGUCGUUUGUUUUCUAAUUUAUACUUGCGUUGCCACGGCUUCUGUGUCGUCUUUUAGCUUGUUUCGCGUUGUUUAGGCUGCUAUAAGGGUCUGAUCGUUAGGGCAUCUAUUGUAGACAGACUAAUAUUUCUGUACAGUUAUUACGCCCGUAAAAGAAAACAGCUUAAUACAAUAGUAGGCCACGGAAAGAACGGAUACAAUCUUACGCUUUCCUUACGUACGUGGUGUCUCGGACCUUUCCUACACUCGUUUUAAAACCCAGAGAGUUUUACGAAAUGUCCCGAAAAUUUCGAUAAGUAAAUCGAAUGUGCUCCGUCGAACGGUUUUACCUUCGAAAUACUGG
rnacentral:lncRNA from 1 species